rnacentral:rRNA from 1 species
AUUGAACGCUGGCGACAGGCCUAACACAUGCAAGUCGAGCGGAUGACGGGAGCUUGCUCCUUGAUUCAGCGGCGGACGGGUGAGUAAUGCCUAGGAAUCUGCCUGGUAGUGGGGGAUAACGUUCCGAAAGGAACGCUAAUACCGCAUACGUCCUACGGGAGAAAGCAGGGGACCUUCGGGCCUCGCGCUAUCAGAUGAGCCUAGGUCGGAUUAGCUAGAUGGUGAGGUAAUGGCUCACCAAGACGACGAUCCGUAACUGGUCUGAGAGGAUGAUCAGUCACACUGGAACUGAGACACGGUCCAGACUCCUACGGGAGGCAGCAGUGGGGAAUAUUGGACAAUGGGCGAAAGCCUGAUCCAGCCAUGCCGCGUGUGUGAAGAAGGUCUUCGGAUUGUAAAGCACUUUAAGUUGGGAGGAAGGGCAUUAACCUAAUACGUUAGUGUCUUGACGUUACCGACAGAAUAAGCACCGGCUAACUUCGUGCCAGCCGCCGCUGUAACAC